rnacentral:rRNA from 1 species
UUGACCCUUUAGUGGCGCAGCUAACGCGAUAAGUAGACCGCCUGGGGAGUACGGUCGCAAGAUUAAAACUCAAAUGAAUUGACGGGGGCCCGCACAAGCGGUGGAGCAUGUGGUUUAAUUCGAUGCAACGCGAAAAACCUUACCAGGCCUUGACAUCCUGAGAACUUUCUAGAGAUAGAUCGGUGCCUUCGGGAACUCAGUGACAGGUGUUGCAUGGCUGUCGUCAGCUCGUGUCGUGAGAUGUUGGGUUAAGUCCCGUAACGAGCGCAACCCUUAUCCUUAUUUGCCAGCACAUAAUGGUGGGAACUCUAAGGAGACUGCCGGUGACAAACCGGAGGAAGGAGAGGAUGAUGUCAAGUCAUCAUGGCCCUUACGGCCUGGGCUACACACGUGCUACAAUGGACAGUACAGAGGGCCGCGAAACCGCGAGGUGGAGCAAAUCCCAAAAAACUGUUCGUAGUCCGGAUCGGAGUCUGCAACUCGACGCCGUGAAGUCGGAAUCGCUAGUAAUCGCGAAUCAGAAUGUCGCGGUGAAUACGUUCCCGGGCCUUGUACACACCGCCCGUCACAUCAUGGGAGUGGGUUGCACCAGAAGUAGCUAGUUUAACCUUCGGGAGAACGGUUACCACGGUGUGAUUCA